rnacentral:rRNA from 1 species
AUAUCAAUAAGCGGAGGAAAAGAAACCAACAGGGAUUGCCCUAGUAACGGCGAGUGAAGCGGCAACAGCUCAAAUUUGAAAUCUGGCUCUCGGGCCCGAGUUGUAAUUUGUAGAGGAUGCUUUUGGUGCGGUGCCUUCCGAGUUCCCUGGAACGGGACGCCAUAGAGGGUGAGAGCCCCGUCUGGUUGGAUGCCAAUCCUCUGUAAAGCUCCUUCGACGAGUCGAGUAGUUUGGGAAUGCUGCUCUAAAUGGGAGGUAUAUGUCUUCUAAAGCUAAAUACCGGCCAGAGACCGAUAGCGCACAAGUAGAGUGAUCGAAAGAUGAAAAGCACUUUGAAAAGAGAGUUAAAAAGUACGUGAAAUUGUUGAAAGGGAAGCGUUUAUGACCAGACUUGGGCUUGGUUAAUCAUCCAGGGUUCUCCCUGGUGCACUUUUCCAGUCCAGGCCAGCAUCAGUUUGCUUCGGGGGAUAAAGGCUUCGGGAAUGUGGCUCCUCUCGGGGAGUGUUAUAGCCCGUUGCGUAAUACCCUGAGGCGGACUGAGGUACGCGCUUCUGCAAGGAUGCUGGCGUAAUGGUCAUCAACGACCCGUCUUGAAACACGGACCAAGGAGUCGUCUUCGUAUGCGAGUGUUCGGGUGUCAAACCCCUACGCGUAAUGAAAGUGAACGCAGGUGAGAGCUUCGGCGCAUCAUCGACCGAUCCUGAUGUUCUCGGAUGGAUUUGAGUAAGAGCAUACGGGGCCGGACCCGAAAGAAGGUGAACUAUGCUUGUAUAGGGUGAAGCCAGAGGAAACUCUGGUGGAGGCUCGCAGCGGUUCUGACGUGCAAAUCGAUCGUCAAAUAUGAGCAUGGGGGCGAAAGACUAAUCGAACCUUCUAGUAGCUGGUUUCCGCC